rnacentral:rRNA from 1 species
AGGGAUUCCCCCAGUAGUGGCGAAUGAAGCGGGAAAAGCUCAAGUUUGAAAUCUGGCAGGCAACUGUCCAGAGUUGUAAGCUGAAGAGGCGAUGUCCGAUGCGGUCCAGACUUAAUUUCCUUGGAACAGGAAGUCAUGGAGGGUGAGAACCCCGUACAUGGUUUGGGUGCCGCCGUCCUUGUGACGCGUCCUCUAAGAGUCGGGUUGUUUGGGAAUGCAGCUCAAAAUGGGUGGUAAAUUUCAUCUAAAGCUAAAUAUUGGCGAGAGACCGAUAGCAAACAAGUAGAGUGAUCGAAAGAUGAAAAGUACUUUGAAAAGAGAGUGAAACAGUACGUGAAAUUGUUGAAAGGGAAGCGUUUGGCAUCAG